GCCCCCUUCCUCCUCCCUUCGGAAGGUGGGGCAUCUUGUCUGAAUUUGAAUAAAAAUCUUUCAGGAUGGGAAUUUGUUCCAAAAAGGGUUCAGGGGAAAAGUGUGUUUGCAGAGUUUGAAGGUUCAGGAGAAAACUUGUGUGAGUAUGUGUGUGUGUGUGUAUGUGAACGCGUGUGUGUGCUGUGUGUAUCUGUGUGUGGUGUGCGUUUGCAUACAUGUAGGUGUGAGGGUGUGUGAAUGUGUGUGCAUGCCUGUGAACGCAUUUGUCUGUGUGUGGGUAAGUGUGCACACACGCAUGUGGGUGCCUAUGCGUGGUAUGUGUGGGCGACUGUGUGUAUGUGGUGUGUGUGCGUGUGCCCCUGUGCGUGCCUGUGUCUCUGAGCGCCUGUGCCUGUGCGCCGCGGGCGGGAGAGGCAGCUUCAGCUCAGCCAGUGGCAGCGCAGUUAGUACAUAACUAAUAGUGAGGGAGGAAGCUGGGGAGAGACUGGGGAGAGACGCCACCGACCUUAUUAACAAAAGCUCAGUUUUGUCCCUGCGGACCCAGCCAGCAGCAGGGACUGGAGAGCUGCGGCUCUCUGCCAGGGAGGUCGGGCUCCCUGCAAACAGUUGCAGGCAUCCUUUCUCCGUGCCCUUCUCCCAGGGAGUCCUGAGGUUUGGCAACCAGGAAGUUUGCAAAGCCGCAGCAGCUGCAGCCUUGGAGGAGACCAGCAAAGACAGUGGAGUGUUGAGUGGGGCGACAUUUCAAAGGGCACCAAAAGCUGGCUGUCAAGAUAAGAAAAUACAGCUGUGAUCUGUGUCCUUUUCUGACAAACGUAGCCUCCAGCCAUCUGAAGACGUGUUUGGGUGGGUGGGAACCUUCUCACUAGAGGACAGAGUGCACAGAUCUUGCAAAGCAGGAAGGAAAUCUUUCCAAAUGGAAUGAUUAGGUCUUCGGGCAUCUUGGAGGAGGACUUUCACAGGCAAUACCACAUGAGGAGAAUUUUAAUAAGGCUGGAAGCAAAGACAU